AAGUUUGAUCAUGGCUCAGAACGAACGCUGGCGGCAUGCCUAACACAUGCAAGUCGAACGAAGUCUUCGGACUUAGUGGCGCACGGGUGCGUAACGCGUAGGAACGUGCCCUUCGCUUCGGGAUAGCCUCGGGAAACUGGGAGUAAUACCGAAUACGCCGUAUUGGGAAAGAUUUAUCGGCGAAGGAUCGGCCCGCGUUGGAUUAGCUAGUUGGCGGUGUAAUGGACCACCAAGGCUACGAUCCAUAGCUGGUCUGAGAGGACGACCAGCCACACUGGGACUGAGACACGGCCCAGACUCCUACGGGAGGCAGCAGUGGGGAAUCUUGGACAAUGGGCGCAAGCCUGAUCCAGCCAUGCCGCGUGAGUGAAGAGGCCUUAGGGUUGUAAAACUCUUUCGCCGGUGAAGAUAAUGACGGUAACCGGAGAAGAAGCCCCGGCUAACUUCGUG
rnacentral:rRNA from 1 species